ACUCCUACGGGAGGCAGCAGUGGGAAUAUUGGACAAUGGGGGACCGUGCAUCAGCCAUGCCGCGUGUGUGAAGAAGGCCUUAUGGUUGUAAAGCACUUUAAGCGAGGAGGAGGCUACUGAGACUAAUACUCUUGGAUAGUGGACGUUACUCGCAGAAUAAGCACCGGCUAACUCUGUGCCAGCAGCCGCGGUAAUACAGAGGGUGCGAGCGUUAAUCGGAUUUACUGGGCGUAAAGCGUGCGUAGGCGGCCAUUUAAGUCAAAUGUG
rnacentral:rRNA from 1 species